AGAGUUUGAUCAUGGCUCAGGAUGAACGCUGGCGGUCUGCUUAACACAUGCAAGUCGAACGCAUCCUUCGGGAUGAGUGGCAGACGGGUGAGUAACACGUGGGAACGUACCCUUUGGUUCGGAACAACUCUGGGAAACUGGAGCUAAUACCGGAUACGCCCUUUUGGGGAAAGGUUUACUGCCGAAGGAUCGGCCCGCGUCUGAUUAGCUAGUUGGUGGGGUAACGGCCUACCAAGGCGACGAUCAGUAGCUGGUCUGAGAGGAUGAUCAGCCACAUUGGGACUGAGACACGGCCCAAACUCCUACGGGAGGCAGCAGUGGGGAAUAUUGGACAAUGGGCGCAAGCCUGAUCCAGCCAUGCCGCGUGAGUGAUGAAGGCCUUAGGGUUGUAAAGCUCUUUUGUCCGGGACGAUAAUGACGGUACCGGAAGAAUAAGCCCCGGCUAACUUCGUGCCAGCAGCCGCGGUAAUACGAAGGGGGCUAGCGUUGCUCGGAAUCACUGGGCGUAAAGGGCGCGUAGGCGGCCAUUCAAGUCGGGGGUGAAAGCCUGUGGCUCAACCACAGAAUUGCCUUCGAUACUGUUUGGCUUGAGACCGGAAGAGGUCAGUGGAACUGCGAGUGUAGAGGUGAAAUUCGUAGAUAUUCGCAAGAACACCAGUGGCGAAGGCGGCUGACUGGUCCGGUUCUGACGCUGAGGCGCGAAAGCGUGGGGAGCAAACAGGAUUAGAUACCCCCGUAGUCC
rnacentral:rRNA from 1 species